rnacentral:rRNA from 1 species
UUCUACGGGGCGCAGCAGUGGGGAAUAUUGCGCAAUGGGCGAAAGCCUGACGCAGCGACGCCGCGUGAGGGAUGAAGGUUCUCGGAUCGUAAACCUCUGUCAGAAGGGAAGAAAUUGUAUCAUGCUAAUCAGUGGUGUAUUGGCGGUACCUUCCAAGGAAGCACCGGCUAACUCUGUGCCAGCAGCCGCGGUAAUACGGAGGGUGCGAGCGUUAAUCGGAAUUAAUGGGCG